GACAGAGGGUGCAAACGUUGUUCGGAAUUACUGGGCGUAAAGCGCGUGUAGGCUGCUUGGAAAGUCGGAUGUGAAAGCCCUGGGCUCAACCUAGGAAGUGCAUUCGAAACUUCUGAGCUUGAGUUCUGGAGAGGAAGGCGGAAUUCUCGGUGUAGAGGUGAAAUUCGUAGAUAUCGAGAGGAACACCGGUGGCGAAGGCGGCCUUCUGGACAGUGACUGACGCUGAGACGCGAAAGCGUGGGGAGCAAACGGG
rnacentral:rRNA from 1 species